CCUANGGGGGGCAGCAGUGAGGAAUCUUCCGCAAUGGGCGAAAGCCUGACGGAGCGACACCGCGUGGAGGACGAAGGCCUUUUGGUUGUAAACUCCUUUUCUGGGGGAAUAAUUGAUGAAUGUACCCCAGGAAUAAGCACCGGCUAACUACGUGCCAGCAGCCGCGGUAAUACGUAGGGUGCAAGCGUUAUCCGGAAUUAUUGGGCGUAAAGCGUGCGUAGGCGGCUUGGCAAGUUUGAGGUUAAAUCUGAUCGCUUAACGAUCAAAACGUCUCAAAAACUAUCAAGCUAGAGAGUGAUAGAAGCAACUAGAAGUCUACAUGUAGGGGUAAAAUCCGUUGAUAUGUAGAGGAAUACCAAAAGCGAAGGCAGGUUGCUGGGUCAUUUCUGACGCUGUUGCACGAAAGCGUGGGGAGCAAACAGGAUUAGAUACCCCUNUANUC
rnacentral:rRNA from 1 species